CACAAUUUGAGUUGAAUUACUGAAAUAAAUUAACUUUUCCACGACAUUCUAAUUUAUUGAGAUGCACCUGUAUAUGCUCCAAAAGUAUCCCUCUGACUCAUAUGUAUAUAAAUUGACAAUUAAAAUUAGCGCAGAGAACGGGACCUGUGAGAACAGGACAGACUACCGAACUCAAACGCAAACUGAAUUGCUGUCGACUGUAGACUUGUUCAAUGAUAUGGGAAUAAAACUAAUUAUGUAUUGACUUCUAAGGCCACAUUUUGCAUUGUCUAAUGCAAAUAUAUAUGAUUAUUUAAAUAAUUCUGUAUUUUUUUUUUUUUUUUUACAACUCUGUUUAUCUUAAAUAUUGAUUUAUCUUUAUUUGGGGGACUUUUUCAACAAACAAUGAUAUGUGAUUAAUUACAAUUAAUCGGGAUGUCAUAUUUUUAGUAAAUAAGUGAAUACAUUUUGGUCUGCUCCUCACACAAAGCUAUCGUAUGGCUUCAGAAUACUUGGAAUACAUCGCACGAGUCGUAUGGACUUCUUUCAAUUAGGGCUGUCGAUUUAAUUAUAUAAAAAAAUAACAGGUUAAAACAACACAAUUAAUCAUGUCCCCAGGCUGUAAUAAGGAAUAUUCCUACCAUCUGAGCAAAUCAAGAUUGUAGUACAACCUGUUUUCUCCAGGGGGCAGUAGGCGGAACUCCAGCAGCAUAAGCAACACGCAGCUUACACAGAGAACAAACCACACUUACCAAGAGCAGACAAUACAAGAUAAGAACACAUUCUUGCAUUCAAACACAGCUUGGAGUGCAAAUCCGAACACAGGGAUCUCAAAACGUGUUCUUCUAAGUUUCAAACUUCAUUUAGCUUGACACAACGACCUAAAAACCGAACGUUUAUGAUGCAACGCAACCAAAGCGAGACGCCCCAAAAGCUUCCGUCUGAUGCAGGUGUACAUUGCCGCGUUCUUAGACGAGCCCUUUUAAUAAAUCUCAGACUUGAUGAAUUCCGUUGCAAAAUGGAUUGCUGUGAACUGUAGGCCAGUGAUUGGCAAUAAUAUGGAAAUAAACAAUAUAUUGCAUUCUAAAGCCACUUUUUGCAUUGUAUUUUUUUAAUGCUUUACUUGUGUGCCAAAAUAAUGUAAUCCUUUUUAAUUAUCCGCAUUUUUCUUAAUAAUAUAUAUUUGAUUUCUAAUUUAAAUAUAACAAUUUGUAAUUAUUUAUUAUAUUUGUAUGCGAUUAAUUCGAUUAAUUAAUUGGCAUACCAAGUAAUUAAUUUGAUUAAAAAUGUUAAUCGAUUGACAGCCCUACUUUUAAUAUACGUUUGCAUCCUUUUUGAAUAGUUUUAUGUGCCAUGGAAGAAAACAAAGACAGUUUAGCAGAGACGGACCACUUGUAUUAAAAUGAACGGGAGGAAUUGGAACACCCAAUAUGGUGGGUGUAGAAAAGGAAGUCCCGCCUUAAAGAUAAAAGAGCCAAUCACCUUUUAGAUACAGACAUCGCCUGUCAGUCAACUCGAGAACGCGCAUGCGCAUUAGCUGGACCAGCCUGAAAAACUGUUUUUUUAGCGUGAACUGAGCUAAAGCAGCACAAUUUAUUGUACUAUUCUUGUCAGAUUUAACUGCUGAUUUGAAAUAUGUUCUUUGAUCAUAAUUGUUUUGGAGAUUUCUGUCUUUCCCCAUUCAAGUAGAUAGGAGCUGUACUUUUAUGCCGCUUGUAUGCAUAGAAAAUAGCUGCCCAGGAGCGUUCCAAAGAUGGCCGCCGAGUGGACUGACUUGACUUGAAGGGGACUUUGAAGAAAGUCAUACAUGUUUGGAAUGAUAUGAGAGUGAAUAAAUGAUGAGAGAAUUUUCAUUUUUAGGAUGUUGGAAGACCAUACCAAAUGGGAGAAUUCGAGAGCGUACGCCUCUCGUACCCUGUCCGCAAUGAGCGGGCGUGAGACAAUCGGGAAGUCAGCUCAUGGCCUGCAAGGAAGUCCCCGCUGGCAGGUACAAACAAGAAAGGCACACAGCUGACAACCUGGAAGCAGCUCACCAGAGAAUUUGUGAAGAAUGUGGCAUUACAGAUAAAAUUGUUGCAUGUGAAUCUGAUAAUGCUAGCAACAUUAAAGCUGCAAUUCAAAAAGCUGGAUGGAGGGACUUGCCUUGCUUUGCCCACACUAUAAACUUGAUAGUGAGGGAAGGUUUGAAACACAUUCAGGGUGUUGUGGCAUAGGUAAAAUCUAUUGUUGAGCACUUUCACAGGAGCACUACUGCAUCGGAGUGUCUCAGAGCAACUCGGGUACAGAUGGGCCUUGAAGAGUUAAAGCUCAAACAGGAUGUAGUAACAAGGUGGAACUCCACUUUUUACAUACUGCAAAGAUUUUGGCAGCAAAAGGAUGCUAUUAUUGACACACUUGCCCUUGUCAGCCCCAGCUUGCCAACACUGACGCCUGAUGAGUGGGACAUAGUGAACAAUGCCUGCAAGAUACUGAAGCCUUUCGAAGUAGUAACAGCUGAAAUCAAUGCAGAAAGCAUCUAAAGUUGUUCUAAUUGUGAGGGGGCUGCAAAAAGUCAACCAGAAACAGCUGGAAUGUUUGACCAUGCAUGACUGUUUCAGCAAUGGUGACUUCAUUGGCUGCUGACAUGCAAAAACGAUUCCACAGAAUGGAAUUCUUUAGCCUGUUGGCAGAGGCUUGACCCAAGAUUUAAGCAGAAGGCCUUUCACAAUCCAGCUGCAGCAGAUGAGGCCUGCAAAAGUGCUACUGCAGCUUCAGCACUCAGGUCCAGCAGGCAGGUGAAUGAACCACAUGCUUAGAGUACUAGGCUUCCCACCCCCUCUUCUGAGCAACAUUCAGUUUGGGGGGACUUUGACAAGAGGGUGGCUGAUUCAUUCACUGUCAGGAACCCCACAUCAGAAGCAAUGGCUGCAAUGAGGUGUUACUUGGCAGAGACCCUGAUUCCAAGGAUUGAGGAUCCACCCGCUUGGUGGAAAGCACGGCAAAUGGUUUAUGAAGAUUUAACGGACAUUUUGAAGAGGAGGCUUUGCAUAGUUGCGACCUCGGUGCCUGCAGAGGGAAUAUUUUCAAAAAAAUGGCCAAAUCAUUUCAGAGAGGAGGGACAGGCUGAAACCCAACAAAGUUAGACAGCUUGUUUUCCUAAACGCAAACCUCCCCUGAAAUCAGGACAAAAAUCAUUGUCCAUGUGUCCAUUGUCUGAGCACCUUUUGUUUUUGCUUUUUGUUUAUGCUGAUUGUUUAGUAAUGAUAAUCAAUCUACAUUUUAUAGGCACUUGUAAAUGCCAAGUCUCUUGGUUUUGACAUUUUAUAUAUACUGUUUUAAUAUUUUUCUUUGUUGUAUUUAAAAUAUUAAAACUGAGUGUGUUUUUAAUUCUGCUUUGUAUGUGGCUAUUUUGAGAUACUUUAUUUAAAUGUCUGCAAAUGUCUCCCAAACUACACAAUAAGGGCUAAAAAUACAAACACAAAAUGGCUAAAAUACUUGCUAAUGAGGAUUCUUUUUUAUUUAUUCUUUUUUUUUUUUUUUUUUACAAAAUAUUAAAAGUAAAAGGCUAGGGAGGCCUGGGUAGCUCAGCGAGUAUUGACGCUGACUACCACCCCUGGAGUCGUGAGUUCGAAUCCAGGGUGUGCUGAGUGAAUCCAGCCAGGUCUCCUAAGCAACCAAAUUGGCCCGGAUGCUAGGGAGGGUAGAGUCACAUGGGAUAACCUCCUCGUGGUCACGAUUAGUGGUUCUCACUCUCAAUGGGUCAUGUGGUAAGUUGUGCACGGAUCGCAGAGAGUAGCAUGAGCCUCCACAUGCGGAGUCUCCGUGGCGUCAUGCACAACAAGCCACGUGAUAAGAUGCGCAGAUUGACUGUCUCAGAAGCAGAGGCAAAUGAGACUUGUCCUCCACCACCCGGAUUGAGGUGAGGACCUACUAAGUAGUGGGAAUUGG